GCAGUCGAACGGCAGCAUGAUCUAGCUUGCUAGAUUGAUGGCGAGUGGCGAACGGGUGAGUAAUACAUCGGAACGUGCCCUGUAGUGGGGGAUAACUAGUCGAAAGAUUAGCUAAUACCGCAUACGACCUGAGGGUGAAAGUGGGGGACCGCAAGGCCUCAUGCUAUAGGAGCGGCCGAUGUCUGAUUAGCUAGUUGGUGAGGUAAAGGCUCACCAAGGCGACGAUCAGUAGCUGGUCUGAGAGGACGAUCAGCCACACUGGGACUGAGACACGGCCCAGACUCCUACGGGAGGCAGCAGUGGGGAAUUUUGGACAAUGGGCGAAAGCCUGAUCCAGCAAUGCCGCGUGUGUGAAGAAGGCCUUCGGGUUGUAAAGCACUUUUGUCCGGAAAGAAAUGGCUCUGGUUAAUACCUGGGGUCGAUGACGGUACCGGAAGAAUAAGGACCGGCUAACUACGUGCCAGCAGCCGCGGUAAUACGUAGGGUCCAAGCGUUAAUCGGAAUUACUGGGCGUAAAGCGUGCGCAGGCGGUUGUGCAAGACCGAUGUGAAAUCCCCGAGCUUAACUUGGGAAUUGCAUUGGUGACUGCACGGCUAGAGUGUGUCAGAGGGGGGUAGAAUUCCACGUGUAGCAGUGAAAUGCGUAGAGAUGUGGAGGAAUACCGAUGGCGAAGGCAGCCCCCUGGGAUAACACUGACGCUCAUGCACGAAAGCGUGGGGAGCAAACAGGAUUAGAUACCCUGGUAGUCCACGCCCUAAACGAUGUCAACUAGUUGUUGGGGAUUCAUUUCCUUAGUAACGUAGCUAACGCGUGAAGUUGACCGCCUGGGGAGUACGGUCGCAAGAUUAAAACUCAAAGGAAUUGACGGGGACCCGCACAAGCGGUGGAUGAUGUGGAUUAAUUCGAUGCACCGCGAAAAACCUUACCUACCCUUGACAUGCCACUAACGAAGCACAGAUGCUUUAGGUGCUCGAAAGAAAAGUGGACACAGGUGCUGCAUGGCUGUCCUCAGCUCGGGUCGGGAAAGUUGGGUUAAGUCCCCCACCGAGCGC
rnacentral:rRNA from 1 species